rnacentral:rRNA from 1 species
CACUCCUGCGGGAGGCAGCAGUGGGGAAUUUUGGACAAUGGGCGAAAGCCUGAUCCAGCAAUGCCGCGUGUGUGAAGAAGGCCUUCGGGUUGUAAAGCACUUUUGUCCGGAAAGAAAUCCUUGGCUCUAAUACAGUCGGGGGAUGACGGUACCGGAAGAAUAAGCACCGGCUAACUACGUGCCAGCAGCCGCGGUAAUACGUAGGGUGCGAGCGUUAAUCGGAAUUACUGGGCGUAAAGCGUGCGCAGGCGGUUUGCUAAGACCGAUGUGAAAUCCCCGGGCUCAACCUGGGAACUGCAUUGGUGACUGGCAGGCUAGAGUAUGGCAGAGGGGGGUAGAAUUCCACGUGUAGCAGUGAAAUGCGUAGAGAUGUGGAGGAAUACCGAUGGCGAAGGCAGCCCCCUGGGCCAAUACUGACGCUCAUGCACGAAAGCGUGGGGAGCAAACAGGAUUAGAUACCCGAGUAGUCCCAUGA